GCUCACUUAACUCAGAUGGUAAGAGUACGGAUCUUAUACGUCCGUGGUCGCUGGUUCGAGUCCAGCAGUGAGUA
rnacentral:tRNA from 1 species